UCCUGGCAGUUUUCUGUGCUGCCUGUAGAUUCCUGUGAACAGUCGUUAACCUGAAAUUCCACUGACACAAAUUCUUCUUUUCAUGCAGUGCUUGGUUUGAAGUGUUGGUCUGAAAAAUCUCAGUUUCGAGGGCUGUACAGCCCUGACACUUGCUCCUACCCCUCCAUCCCAACAAGAGUCAGGACACCCUACUCCUAAACGCGAACGCACAAAACAGAGGGGUACGGCUAAAGGGUAGGGAGAAGGGAUCAAAUGAGAUUGGGCCUAAAUCUAAUCUCCCGACCUGAUAUUUAUAUUUCUUAUUCAAUCAAUAUAUUUGUUUGACAGGGAGGCUGUGCACAAACAGGAAUAUAAUAUUAAUUUAUGGUAAAAAAAAAAAAAGCACCCCAGGAGGGCACUUUCUCUCGAGGAAGAAAUAGGGCCGGGGCUUGUCUAUGUGUGCAAAUGCCUGACUGCCUAACGAGAAUCUAACUAAAGCAACCCUCUAGUCUUCAGGUGCUAUUGUGGUGGGUAUUUACGCACUAAAUCCCCCAAGCCCACACUACUGAGCCCCAGCCUAACAGGGACACUCACCUGACCUAAAUGCCACCAUAAAUCACUUGCAUAGAACAGCACCACAGAGACUCGCCCUCAUUGCGAGGGACACACGCUUUACUGAAACCAGUCAACUCAUAAUAGUGUAUAACAGCCUACUUACCGGACUCAUAACCUCUCCCAAACAACCAAAUUAUGCCGUUCAUUCACAAUUUGUGUCUGCUGUGUAAUUAAAUUGAUUUAGUCUUAAAAUAAUGAUAUUCCUUUGAAGUUGUGUAAUUGUAUUACUUUGAAGUAAUUUUAUGAUCAUUGUAUUGCUUUGAAUUGUGCUGUCUAACAAAACUGCAUUACUCUGAAGUUGUGGUAUGUAUUACUUAGAAACGUGUAUCAUCCUGUCUUCAUUGUAUUACUUGUUGUCAUUUUAAUGUGGCGUGCUUACAUCUCCAUUCAAUCUGAUCAAACGGCCAUUCUGCAUCUUGCAAAAUAACUACAGGCUACAGAUGUAUUAGAGAGGAUAUAUGCCUGCCCAGCUUAGUGGCCAGCAUUUUUGCUACCACUUUCUGAUCAUAGUCUAGUAGACUGAGGGGUCUACUAGACUAGUAGACCCCUCAGAAUAUUCAGAUCCAUGCCAAUGGAUCUGAAUAUUCAUUCGGUUUCUUAAGUAGUAGACAAAUAUUGGCCUCAUAAAAGGACUGUGGAAAUAUCUCAUGGGCUAUUGAAUGUUUAAUCAUUCUAAAUAGCAGGGGGGCAAUGAAGUCACUGUAUAUUCUGCACCAAACCUAUCUGGCCCUGCAGCCUUACCGCUUGGAAUUGAUUUUAUUGCCUCUUUAAUUUCACAAACUGUAAAAGUAGAAUAAAGAUCAAGCUUAGCAGAGUCACUUAUUUUAGGUAAUUCAAAAGAAUCCAGGAAUUUCUCGAUAGCCUCAUCAGAUGCAUUACAGCUUGAAGUGUAUAACUUUGUAUGUAGCUCUCUAAAAUAGUCAUCUAUAUCACAAGUUUCCCCAGUGGAAGACUUAAAGUCAGUUAAUAAAUUGUAAACCUUCUGAAAAAAGUCAGGCUCAUCAAUAUUAGGUCCAUAAAUAUGAAGACAAGUGAUAUAGGAAUAUUAUUAAUGCUUCCUGAGACAAUCAGAUAUCGACCAGAAGGGUCGGUAUUUAGGAGACAUAAUUGAAACGGCACCAAUUUCUUAAACAAAAUAGCUUCAAUAAUCUUGACGAGCAGCUUCCAACAUAUUCCUUUUUUUAUUUAUUUUGGAUGGAAUUUGAGGCAAUGUUCUUUUUCCUGCCUAGCUCCACCCAGCUUAUGCUCGGGCCCAGUCCUGUGGCUGUUCAGGUGGCCAAGCGGAGUAAAGAAGAAGCCAGCCAGCCCGUCACCACCAAGAUAGCAAGGCCCACAUCACAGCCAGGGGAGAGAACCCUGCAGACCGGCGACACAUCCAAAGGUAGAUGGAGGUGGAGCUUGAAGCAGGGCACAGGAGACCGAGCGUCUCAAUAAGCUGCCGAAGGUGUUCAUGUUCACCACAGACAGCAUAAUCAUCCCAAGCCUGGACCAGGAGCGCACAAGGUACAUCUGGAGCACACAGAUGACACACAUGUCCUGUAUCCAGGACAGGCCAGGUGACCAAGGGUGAGGCACCUCUCUGUUGCAGCAGGACAGUGAGGGUUGUCCGGCACACGAGCUGGUCCCUGGUUUUAAGGGCACUCUCUUUGGAACAAAAGUUUCACAACCAGGCAGGAAUUCACCACACUGGUGGGUGGCAUCCCCACAAUACGUCCCCCUGCUCAGGCUGCGUCACUGUCCUGUCUCUAAUUGGUCGAGAUUUCAUGGGUCCAACUUAAAACUUCACAUUGUUGUUUCUAGUUGAUGUGGAGGACAGGUAAAAAGUUUCACUUUUCAGUUGAAAAAGGCGCUUGUUUGUAAGCCGGGAAAGGGCUCGAGACUAGACUAAAAGACUAGAAAAGAUCUACAUAAACACAGACCAUUUACCAUUUCAUUUUAUUUCAAAUAGAGCAGUGUCGUGUGUGUUGUCUUGUAUUUACAAUCACUUUACAAUUAUGAAAGACUAUUAUUAGGUCCCGAGCAGGACAGUGGAAGGACCAUAAUUGUUUUUGCUGUGAUUUUUCUUCUUCUUACAAAUGAAUAACCUUUUUGGGGGGCUUAACAUACUCGAAAACUCACCAAAUAUCGCGGGCGGGUCAGGUCUGGUGAAAAUGUACGUAUUUUAAUGUAACGUGCUUGAGAAAGUGCAUCCAAAAAUGGCUCAAUAGCGCCCCCUACAAUUUACAAUUAGGGCACUCCUAUUCAUUUACUUUCACUUAGAGCAGGGGUCGGCAUGCGGCUCUUCAGCCCCUCCUCAGUGGCUCCCUGUCAGGGCCGGCCCUGGCAAUGUUGGCGCCCUAGGCGAGAUUUCAGAUUGGCGCCCCCCAACAUACACACGCAAAUUGUCAUGCAUCCCCAAUAACCUUUGGACUGUAUACAGAUGCACACACAGGCAGACAAAAUUGUAGGCUAUAAAAAUAAUAAAAAUAGCUGCCACCCCCCCCCGAUUCGAUUUUCGAGUGUUUUCCGGCCCGAUUUGCUCGCGGCGAGCGAAAAAAAUAGAACAGACCCCGAAACCAUCCCUGCAGAUCCCGAGCCGGCCACGGCGCUUCCCAGUGCUUCCCGGCACUACGCUGCCGGUGCGAACAGCCCAAUUAUUUAACAUGGGCGCGGAAAGGAGGCGCACAGCUUUUCGUGGCGCUUCGCGGCGCUUCUACCUCCGGUGCGUCCCGGGGUUAGAGGAUGAUGGUGUGACGUUAAUGCAUUGGUUUACAUUGCAUGUGUCACGUCAUGAUAAAUCAGUCUCUUGUGCCGCCCUCUCAGCAUUUUGCGCCCUAGGCAACCGCCUAUGUCGCCUAUGCCAGGAGCCGCCCCUGCUCCCUGUACAGUGUUAUCCAUGAACAAUUAUAUUUUUCAUGAACAAUGAACUGAACGAAUCAGUUUUCAUAUGAUGAACGUGAACGUGAGUGACGUUCACUUUCGCUGGAGUGAACGUGGUGAACUCCUGACAUUUUUUAAAUCAUCAUCGUAUCAGGCCAUAAUGUGAAAUACCAGGAGCGAUAGAAUAUGUGUGUGUGGGUGCUCCCAGACAGCGCACACACACACAGGCCCCGAGGCUCCGCCCCCAGUCACUCGCUCAGAGUAACACACACGCAGUGAGAUCAGAGCUUGUUCACGUGAAGCAGACGGUCAGUGAUUUUUGUAGAAGAACAGUGGUUAACUUUACUGGUUUAAAUCAUAGACUGUACAUAAAGAUGGAUGUAGUGUCCGUUACGUCACCCGUUGGUUUUCUGAAGACUCUCAGUGGGCGUUUCACGCAGCGCCAUCUUGCCUGACUCCUCCAAGUUCCUGGCUAACCCAUAAAUAUGCAAAGAGGAGGAGCGUGAGUGGAGCUGAGGUGGGCUGUGUGACGACUGACAACUGAGCCACGCCCACAGAGCUCAACGUUACCUAGUUAGCUCAGGCUAAGGAGCUAGGCUACAUGCUACCCGCUGCUGCUAACUGGCUAGUGCAGCGGUGUUGUUGCUUCAGGAUGGCCGCGGCCGUCACAACGAACUUAGCAAGAGGUUAGUUACCCUGAAACUAUACAACAACAAAACCUAUUGAUUUAUCUAUUAUCAUGAUCAUGCUGCAUAUGCUUACAUGCCUCAAGUCGUUUUUAAUAUGUAAUUGUGUUAAUUUACCGUUUAUUUAACACGUCUAGUGAACAAAUUGAAGCCAGUUAACUACCUCAGUCUAAGUUUUCACAUCACUUUAGUAUAGAGUUGUGUGUUUAGUUGUCACUUGAUUGUAAUUAUAAGUUAAUAUUUAUAAGCUACACAUGUAAGUUGCAUGUGAUAGUAACUAUGUGUCACAAAUGUUCUGAUACAGGCUCGUAUAACCACCAUUACUAUUACCACCUCGUUUAUUUAGCCUGUUUAUACAGUUUAGAUAUGAUUAUAAUCUCUACACACUGUUAUCAAAACAGUGUUCAUCUUUUACUUUCUGAUUUGAUACACUUUAGAUAAAAACAGUGUUUUUUUCCCCUCUUCUUUGCCAAAAGAGACAGAACACGGUCAGCACAGCUGUGUCCUUCAGGCUCGUCCGUCCCUAAUAAAAUGACAGGAAACAUAAAAGUAUGGCAUUAUUGCAGAGGAAGUGUUACUUAUAAACAAAGUUUGUGUCCUUAUCUUCUGUGGAUUUUCAACUAUGUUUUUGAAUAUGGUUUUGGAUUAAACAGUGAAUGUGCAGUAUGGAGUUCUUACACAUUAAAAUUGUAUUAUAUUAGUGCAGUGGUCACCAACCUUUUCGAGCCCAAGAUCACUUUUU